AUGGUGCCCUCCAGCCUGCUGUGGGCCCUGGUGGCCUUCACCUGCUCUGGAUCCAGUGUGGCCCAGAAAGUGAUCCAAGACCAGCCAGUCAUAGCCAAGCAAGAGGGGUCAACAGUCACCCUCAACUGUCGGUAUGAAACAAGUUGGACUGACUACUAUCUUUACUGGUAUAAGCAGCUUCCUGAUGGAAAGAUCAAUUACCUUAUUCAUCAGUCUCUUUCUUCUGCCUAUAAUGCAGAAAAGGGUCGCUAUUCUAUAAACUUCAAGAGAGCACACAAAUUCAUCUCCAUAACCAUUAAAUCCUUACAACUAGAUGAUUCAGCAAAGUACUUCUGUGCUCUCCGGGAACGCACUGCGUUUGAAGUGAUAGUAAAAGCUGAACAAAAACCCAGACCUCAAGAAAAGCAAGCGCCCAGCUCAGCUCAGGAGCCACACUAA